GAUGAACGCUGGCGGCGUGCCUAAUACAUGCAAGUCGAGCGAACGGACGAGAAGCUUGCUUUUCUGAUGUUAGCGGCGGACGGGUGAGUAACACGUGGAUAACCUACCUAUAAGACUGGGAUAACUUCGGGAAACCGGAGCUAAUACCGGAUAAUAUUUUGAACCGCAUGGUUCAAAAGUGAAAGACGGUCUUGCUGUCACUUAUAGAUAGAUCCGCGCUGCAUUAGCUAGUUGGUAAGGUAACGGCUUACCAAGGCAACGAUGCAUAGCCGACCUGAGAGGGUGAUCGGCCACACUGGAACUGAGACACGGUCCAGACUCCUACGGGAGGCAGCAGUAGGGAAUCUUCCGCAAUGGGCGAAAGCCUGACGGAGCAACGCCGCGUGAGUGAUGAAGGUCUUCGGAUCGUAAAACUCUGUUAUUAGGGAAGAACAUAUGUGUAAGUAACUGUGCACAUCUUGACGGUACCUAAUCAGAAAGCCACGGCUACCUACGUG
rnacentral:rRNA from 1 species